CGUCGACCGGCGCACGGGUGAGUAACGCGUAUCCAACCUUCCCAUUACUGUGGGAUAACCUGCCGAAAGGCAGACUAAUACCGCAUAGUCUUCGAUGACGGCAUCAGAUUUGAAGUAAAGAUUUAUCGGUAAUGGAUGGGGAUGCGUCUGAUUAGCUUGUUGGCGGGGUAACGGCCCACCAAGGCGACGAUCAGUAGGGGGUUCUGAGAGGAAGGUCCCCCACAUUGGAACUGAGACACGGUCCAAACUCCUACGGGAGGCAGCAGCC
rnacentral:rRNA from 1 species